rnacentral:lncRNA from 1 species
UUAAAAUUAGAAUGCCGAAAAUCAAAUUAAAAUUGAAUUUAAAUGAUUAGAAAAUUCAAAACCUUUAUUUGGUUUAGUUAAUUUUCCUUUUUUUUCCCCUUUAAAUGUGCUAAUUUUUACCAGAUUGUAACAUAGUUCCAUGUAAUUUUUAAGUAUGUAAGAACAAAACUGAUUUGUGGAUCUGUUUAUUCUAAUUUCUGUGAUCAUAUCGCUCAUGUAAACCUGUUAGACAUGGACCGUUCGUAUCGAGAAGAACCUGUAAAUCUUGAAGGUUCAUUGCUUCAAAUGAUCAAUGAUCACAACCAUGCUUCUACCAUACUACGUGAACGUACUGGUCAGUUAUAUUCAACCGAAUUUGUGAUUGAACCGUGAGAUUGUUAAUUUUUGGGAUUUUAUGAUGAAGCCAUUGACUUAAUCAUAUUUUGGGUUUUUUGUUUGUAAAAAAAAUCAGAGAAAGCAAAGAAAGAAGCAAUUCAGACUGCAGAGCGCGUUUCAGAUCUGUUGGUGAAUUCAGUGAAUGAGGGUGUGCAAGAGGUCUUCAUAAAUGAGAAGCGAAUUGAAAUGGAAAUUCGAGCUUUAGCUGCAACUAUUAUGCAAUUUACAAAGCAGACUGAUCAGUGGCUCACAGCUUCCCAUGCUAUUAACACUGCCAUUAAGGUUUAUACACUUGGUCUUUGAAUGAUAACUAUACUGGAUUUUGCCUGCUACCAUUGCAGUUUAGUACACAGAGAAGUGAUAGUUUUAUAUGAAACUGCAGUUUCUAGGAUAUUCUGUAUUUGCUUGUUACUAAAUUGUUGAAAUCAUAAGUGAAAAUGACAAUGGUUUGACCUACACAACUUAAGGAAAAGAUUUCAUGAGACUAAAUUUUCAGGCCGUUGGUCUGGAUCUUGGUUUCAAUAGGUAGAAGUAGAACUAUGGGAAGAACAAUUCUUUCUUAUUUUCCUUUUGCAUUCCAAGUGUGUGUUUGAGCUACAUUAUUUUGGAAGAAUGUAUGUUGGAAUGGUAGAUUGAUGGAGAAUGUGUGGUUAAAAAAUGAGAAAAAGUUUUGAAUUGGCAUGUGAUAUUAUUUUAUUGAAGAAUGUGUGGUUGAAAUGAUGUUAAAUCACUAUUUGAGAAUGUAUUUUUUUGAAAGAAUGUGGCUCAAACAGGGCCUAAAUAUACAAGGCAUUUAUUCAAACUUACUCGACUUAUAUACCAAGAUGAAAGAUACUUCUUAGCAUAUAUCCAUACAAACAUGACUUGCAAGAAGUAAAAGGAAUUUAUGAAAACUUUAUUUUCAUUCAUCAGCUUAGUUUAGGAAGUUAGUUGAACAUGUUGAUAUGGUUAAGGAUGCAACUUAUUUUAUGACAUUUACAAUUUAGUGAAAAGAGAGUGAAAGCAUUUGAGAAUGAGGGAAAUUCAGAAAUUGUGAAGCGCUUCAGGUUCUAUAAUUUUACUAGGCUAUAUCUCAUAUGAUGCUCACUUAUCAGGACAGAGUUUCUUACCUGUUGCUGGGAAAAUAAAAAUAUAUUUUUUGCUCUAUUCUAUUGGCUCCUGGCUUGUCAAACAACCAACUAUAAUCUCAUAAUACAGCACUUUAUGUCUGGGCUGGGUCAUUUUGAUUUUGUCAUUUUUUGUAAUCAUAGACUCUAUUCUAUUGGCUCCUGGCUUGUCAAACAACCAACUAUAAUCUCAUAAUACAGCACUUUAUGUCUGGGCUAGGUCAUUUUGAUUUUGUCAUUUUUUGUAAUCAUAGUGAUGUUUUCCUCUCUAGAAAUACAUACUAGAAUGAUAAAUAGGGGACAAUUAAUGCUAAGGAAUCAUUGAUUAAAAUGGCAAAUCAAAAUACUCAGUUUCAGCUUAGAAAAGGUAAGGAUAACGGUCAGUUUGAAUUUUUACUAUAAAUUGGAUUACAACUUGAACAAUUUUUAACUAAAUGAUUUGUGGUUGAAUGAGACAUAGGAUAAGCCGCUUAUUCCUGAGAUUUUAUGGACUCUAUAUACAGGAAAUUGGAGAUUUCGAGAAUUGGAUGAAGAUAAUGGAACUUGAUUGCAAAAGCAUUAGUGCUGCAAUCUGCAAUAUUCACCAAGAAUGAAAUGACAAGGCAAGCUUUCGAUUCCUUUCUUAUGCACAAUUCUUGUGCUUCCCUGUGUACAUGUUUUGUCCCAUGGGGCACUUAUUAUAUAUCUGAAAAUAUGUUUCAUUAUUGAUUGAGUAGAACCUCUAAAAACCUUUUAAUGCUCAACACUCCUUCGUACUGAUUUAUUUGUGUGCACUGGCCUCGCAUAUUUGAUGGCAGCCAUCCUCCAGCCUCCUCUCCAGUUCAGGGCAUAUUUCAGUUAUCUGUGUUAACGGUAUAGUUGUCUAAGUUGCCUGCACUAACUGGGAAUCGACUUCACUCAUUGCUAGGCAAACACUUAAGCUACUGGGAAGUUGCACAGAUGUACUCCAGCGGACACACAUGGAAUUUAAAAAAAAAUAAAAAUGAAAAAGAACAAACUCAAUUGUACGUUAUUAUUGUGAUAUUAAUCUUUCUAAGGGCAUGUGUGAGUUGAUCCAACUGGCUCAUUCCUUAUCUGGUUCGAGUCUGGAAGAUGCAGCUUGAGAAGUUUAAACGAACUUAAUCGUAUGAAGUUGCUGUCACUGAAUUAGAAUAUUCAUCCAAUCAAAAGAAUAGGGCAAUUGUUGUUUAUGUGGACUGACCUUCCACAGAAUAUAUAGGAACUGUGCAUGUUAUAGGCCAUUUAAUAGGGCUCCAAACUGGAAUGUGGAGGAUAUGAGUUUAUUGCGGAUGGCAGUUGGAAAAAUCAACGUACAAAAGAUGCAAUAGGCUGAACUCUUAACCAUGGAACUGAUUAUUCUAUAUUCCCUGUGAGUGCUAAGGUUUUAAAAUUGAGAAAUGUUUCACCAGCAUAACCCGAAAUCUGCAGAGCACUAGUGGGUCUAAUAGUGCAGGAAAUGAACCAAUACCCCCAAGGAGUUUAAUUUUAUUUCAGACUUCCUCUUUAGGAGUUCAUGAAAGAUUAAAGGGCAAAAUUAACUGUGUCCCUUAUGAUGACACAUUGCAAGUACGUAUGUUAGUUGUCAUCAACCCCCCCCCCCCCCAAAAAAAAAAAAAAAAAUUCCAAACUCCAAUCUUUGGUCUACUCUGAAGAGUCUCGUGUUUUCCAUUUUUUUUUUAUUUUUUUUUUCAAUUGCAUUACACAUCUUUGGCCGCAGCUGGUAGUGUUUUUCUUUUUGGAUGGGUGGGUCCGUGGUUUGCAGCAAUUGAAAGUGGUAUUUUGAUGAGUGGAGUAUAAAAAUUAUUAUUUUUGAGGCUAGGCAUAUUUACAAGCCAUCAGGUGUGAUUUUUCGUACUUGUAUCCAAAAUUCCAAAUGAUAAUAGAAUUUAAAAAAAGAAUACUGCUAUAUAGUACCAAUGAUAUUAGUCUUAUUAGAGCAUCAGUUUAAGUGUCAUAAUGUGAUUUGCUGGAGUUAUGUAAUUCAUUUAAUUGUGUCUCUCAUUUAAUGCCACUUAGGUGCCACUUAAUCUAGUGUUAUAACUUCAGUAGUGGUAAAUAACAUUACGCUUUAAAAAAUGCAGAUGUUCUACAAGUUACCAUUCAGCUUUUGGUGCACUUGAUAAUUUGUUAUAAAACAAAUCAACCUUUUCCAGUUUAAUGCAUAUAAACUCCAGUUUUUGACAUACUUGUUUUUUUUUUUAAUUGGACAACAUUAUAUUUAUUUUAUUAUUUUUUGCCUGGGUAGGGGGCUUGGUGACCCUUAUAUGUAGGUCAAUAAUAAGAAUAAAGUACAUGGGUGGGGGAUAUGGUUCUUACCUCCACAAUUUUAGAGAGGAUAUGGAGAGGGUUUGCAUAAGCUAAAUAUGGAGGUACUAACUCCAUCAUAAAUAGUCGAUGAAAGCCUAAAUAAAGCUAUAAAUUUUUAAUUACUACUCACAUUUGCAGAAAUAACUACAAAGGAAUUAUCACUAAGAUCAGCCUUCAUUGUUUUCAGAAAUAAGGAAUUUGCAUCUUAUCAAAUCUUAUGAGACCCCCAACCGUACCUUGCAUGUAUCCAUGUUCGAAUAUUUAGGUAGUCUUCAUCUCCAUCCCCUUAUUAGCCAUAUACCCUGCUUGCCUUCUCUAAAUAAGUGCGUCACUCCACGUCUCAAUUCGUUUAUCAACAAUUUAAUUCCAUCAACCUUUUUUGAAAUACUUGGUAAUAAAUCUCGUCUUUAUCUCAGGUCGGAGGUUUUCACAAUGAAUCAGUGAUGAUAUGAUGGGAGGCAUUCUGUGAUCACCCAUCUGUGAUGCUGAGUGGGUGACUGUUUUGCAGGAAGAAGCCUUGUUGACAUGUUUAGCAUCUGCUAUUGUCAAUUCUACACUCAGAUAUUUCACGAUGACUCUACCUUCUAGUAGUUUUGAACUAUCAGCUGUAAACAUGUGCCUGCACUUACUCACUUAAACAUCCCAGCACCAUGAAUGGGAAAGGGGAGUUAUGUAUGAUCUUGAUGGACAACUUUGUUCUUCUUUACUUACUGAUUCUUUUGAAGUUCUAUUGCAAAAGUUUACCUAUCUGUUUUUAGUAUUUGUCAUUGUUGGGCCAGCUUGUUUUGAUACUUGUACGCUUUUCUUUGCUUUUUCGUUUUUGAGUAAAGUGAAAGAUGUGAUGGAUUUAACGAUUCUAUUUGAGUUAUUUAUCCUGUGAAUUUUAAAGUACAUUAAACAUC